AUUGAACGCUGGCGGCGUGCCUAACACAUGCAAGUCGAGCGGUAACAGGUGUAGCAAUACAUGCUGACGAGCGGCGAACGGGUGAGUAAUGCUUCGGAAUCUGCCCAUGUAGUGGGGAAUAACCAGCCGAAAGGUUGGCUAAUACCGCAUACGACCUACGGGUGAAAGCAGGGGAUCGCAAGACCUUGCGCUAUUGGAUGAGCCGAAGUCGGAUUAGCAGUUGGUAGGGUAACGGCCUACCAAGGCGACGAUCCGUAGCUGGUCUGAGAGGACGACCAGCCACACUGGGACUGAGACACGGCCCAGACUCCUACGGGAGGCAGCAGUGGGGAAUAUUGGACAAUGGGGGCAACCCUGAUCCAGCGACGCCGCGUGUGUGAAGAAGGCCUGCGGGUUGUAAAGCACUUUUAGUGGGGAUGAAAAGCUCGGGGCUAAUACCUCCGGGUCUUGACCUAACCCAAACGAAAAAGACACCGG
rnacentral:rRNA from 1 species